GUUCGUACAUCACUAAAUUUAGAUAACUUUAUUAUCGAUUUAAAUUUUGAAUAUUAAUUUUUUAGAAGUUGAGUUAUAUAAGUGGUGGAAAAUCGCUUAUUAGUAGUGUAAACGUCGGUUAGACAAAAAUAUUUUCUUUUAUUAGAGAUAGAUUAUAAACUAGAAUUAAUGGUUGGUCGGCCAAAUUUUUAUUAAAGGAUGGGAAAGAAGUGAUGAUUAAAUCGGUAGCUUCAGCAUUACUAACUUAUGUUAUGUCUUGUUUCAGACUACCAAAAACCAUUACUUCUAAGCUUACAAGUGCGGUCGCUAAAUUUUGGUGGAGUUCAAAUGUCGAUUCUAAAAGCAUGCAUUGGAUGACUUGGAAUAAAUUAUGUGAUAGUAAGGUAGAUAGUGGAUUAGGUUUUUGAAAUGUAGAUGAUUUAAUUCUGCGCUUCUAGCAAAACAAUUAUGGCGGUUGAUUACGGUUCCAGAUUCACUAUUUGCAAAGGUUUUCAAAGGAAGGUAUUUUCGGAAAUCUAAUCCUAUAGAAAAUAUUAAAUCGUACUCUCCAUCUUAUGGAUGGAAAAGUAUUUGCUCAGCUAGAUCUCUGGUUAAAAAAGGAUUAAUUAAAAGAGUCGGAUCUGGGGCAUCCAUCUCCGUUUGGGAGGAUCCUUGGAUUUCAGCUCAAUUCCCGAGACCAGCAAAAAGUAAUGGGUCUGUUAUUGAUCCAUCUUUAAAAGUAAGUAACCUUAUUGACAGAAGGUCAAACUUUUGGAAAAUGGAUAUUUUACAUGAGAUUUUUGAUCCAAAUGAUAUCCCGUUGAUAAGUGCCCUGCAUGUGGGUGCGCCCAACAAAGAGGAUACUCUAGGUUGGCAUUUUACAAAAUCCGGAAAAUAUACUUUCAAAUCUGGAUAUCAUACUUCUCGGAUAGAAUAUAUAGAUACAAAUUUGUCUUUUAUUGGUCCGGAGAUCACAUUGCUUAAAGCAUAUUCUUGGAAAGUGCAAUGUCCGCCAAAGCUACGCCACUUUUUGUGGCAAAUUUUAGCGAGUUGCGUGCCGGUCAGAGAAAAUUUACGGAAAAGAGGCAUAAAUUGUGAUAUAGGUUGCGCAAGAUGCGGUGCCACGGAGAAAACAAUUAAUCAUACACUUUUUCAAUGUCAUCCAGCUCGACAGAUUUGGGCGCUUUCACAGAUUCCCACGGUUAUAGGAAUUUUUCCCUCGGAUUCUAUUUAUGAGAAUUUAGAUCACUUAUUUUGGAGAGUACAAUCAGCAGUUGAUUCAUUUUCAUAUCCAUGGAUUAUCUGGUAUAUUUGGAAAGCACGGAAUGCAAAGCUUUUUGAUAAUGUGGAUAAAGAUCCACUUGAUAUUUUAAGUUUAGCGGAAAAAGAAGCACAAUCGUGGAAAUCAGCUCAAGUUGAGCUACAUUCUGAAAAUCCGGUUUCUUUUUUGGAAUCACGAACUCGUGUGAGAAAUAUCUCAGAGGAUAAUGUUUAUGCAGGACUUCGUUGUUUUGUAGACGGAUCUUGGAAAGAGAGUGAUCAGUUUUCAGGAUUAGGAUGGUUUUGUACAUCAUCAAAUGAAGAAACCUCAAGCAUGGGCACUACUAAUCUCCGUAGAAGUCUCUCCCCAUUACAUACAGAAGUUGAAGCUCUUCUUUGGGGGAUGAAGUGUAUGAUCGGUGCAGAUAACUAAGAUGUAGCGUUCUUUACAGACUGUUCAGACCUGGGAAGAUGGUGUCUUCCCCAACCGAAUGGCCAGCAUUUUCAGGAUAUUUCUAGGAAUUUCAGAGCGACAAGGAUGAGUUUUCAAACUUCUCUUUAUCUUUAAUCUCACGACGCGCAAAUGUAAAAGCGGAUAAUUUGGCACGGAAUGUCCGUUCUGAAUCGCAUCACAUCACUUAUGUAAACAACAUUCCACAGGAAUGACUCUUUUGAGUUAUAAUUAAAAGCAGAUGACAAAAAAAAAAAGUGUAAACGUCGUUUUUUUUUUGUUUUGUAUUUAAGUUAGUAUACAAUGACCAAAUUACACUCUCUUCACUUAAAUAGUUAACACAUUUACGAAGAACCAUUCCGUAUUUCCUUGUCUUGUUUUUUUUAAUAAAUAAAAACUUCUAAAAUAGAAAUAAAAAGUUUUAAUAAAUAAAAACUCCUAUAAAUAGAAAUAAAAAGAAGAAAGAUAUGUUUUAUUACUAAAUUAAAAGAGUCAUAUUUUUAUUAAAAAAUAUAUAUAAGACUCUUAGAAAAACAAA
rnacentral:sRNA from 1 species